GAUCGAAACUAAGUCUUUAAAAUUUCCUAAACAGAGGAGCAGAAAGAUUUUUUUUCUCCAUGGAAAAUAGAAAGAGGGAUUGGUUCGAUCGAAUAGGAAGGAAAAGGAGAAGAGAAAGAGAGAGAGAGAGAGAGAGAGACAGAGAGGGAGAGCACGGUAACCGAGCAAACCGCUCGAUAUUAAAACGCUGGAAAGGAAAAAAACCACGAUCUGUCGUCUUACCUAAGGGAUAAAUUCCGUUUUCCCCGUGCUCGUUUUCUCGAAAUUUUCUUCGCCGCGUGGAAACACUUUCGUUGCUUCUUUGGGGUCGAAAGGCAACGAGGGUAGAAA